AAUACAACAGAAAUGGAGAAAACAAUCCUUUGUACUUUCUUUUUUUGGAAAAUUCUGAUUUUCUCUUUUAUUCCUUUGCCCUCUCC
rnacentral:ribozyme from 1 species